GCUAUGGGACACCCGCGGCACCCCAGGUGUCUGCGCUAGGGGAGACCCAGCGGCCGAUCCCGUCACAGACGAGGGAGAAGGCGUGAGGAGACAAAGCCGUCACAUCUCCGACAGCUUCCUUCAGCAGCCUCCUCUCCAGUCCAGAGCCGACCCCCGAGCCCCUGAGGCAUUCCUUCCGUCUUCGGAACAACCCUAGUCAUUCAUUGCUAACAGGGAAUCAUGCGGGACCCUGUGAGUAGCCAGUACAGCUCCUUUCUUUUCUGGAGGAUGCCCAUCCCAGAACUGGAUCUGUCGGAGCUGGAAGGCCUGGGCCUGUCAGAUUCACCUACCUACAAGAGCAAGGAGAGCAACAGCAUUGGCAAAAUGGGUGGGCAGGCAACCGGAGCUGAGCGGAAGAGCCCUGAAGGCGACCCCCUCCUUGAGUAUAGCACCUUCAACUUCUGGAGAGCCCCUAUUGCCAGCAUCCGCUCGAUCGACCUGGACUUGCUCUAAGUCGAGACCUCUCUCUCCCACCCGCCCCAUACCCUCCUUGUCCUCCCCCUUAAGUCCCUUCCUCUCUCAGCCUUCCACUUUAAUCUUGUUCUCUUCCCUCUAUUGUGCGGUGGUGCUGAUGAAUCUGCCAAUCGAAUUGUAUGUUUGUAUGUAUGUACUUAUUUAUCUAUUUAUUAUUUAUCUAUCUAUUUAUUUAUUUAUUUAUCUGCCAACUCCGUUUCUCUCAAAAGCCCUCUAGGCACAAAGUCAAGGGUUUAAUCAAUGGAGUACAAGAUCAUAGGACACCCCCCCCCCCAGCCCUGAGAAUACUAACUAAUCCCAGAAAAAUCACCCUUCUUCAAGGCUUCAGAGAGAAGUAUAGUUGUGCAAAAUGGGAGACCAGUUUUUUUUCUUGUUUUGUUGUUGUUACAUUUUAAUCUGCUUCAAAGAUUACUUGAACCUCCCUAAUUUUCAGCACCAGGUCAGUAAUACUGCUUUGAGAAGUAGUGAGAACCUGAAGUCUUGAGACAAAACAGGAUUUCUAAAAGGCUAAGUUCUGCUGCUGCUUGCAGUGCAUUCUCUUCCCCGGGAUCGUGGCGGUAGUUACCGGUGAACACAAGAGACCGGACAUGAGGAACGCAUCCUAUCGGUUCAGAGAUCGUUCCUUUAACUCCAGCUCACAGCUCUGCUUCCUGCUGCGGGUUGGAAAUGUUGGGAAAAUCAGAUUUGAGUCUUCAUGGGGAAUCUUUACUAUUAGAAUACUUACUUCCUAAAAGGCAAAAGAUGUAUCUGAUCAAAAGGAAAGCCAGAGUAGCAGUAGAAGAAUUUAUAUAAAAUUGCGAUUUAGUCGUGGAGCAGGCGCAGUUUUUUGGUCCUUGGUAUUGUAGCUUUGCCUUCAUGGAGGUGCAGUAUGUGAUAGGAAUCAGUGGUUCCUGGACCCAGUUCUUCAGCUACCAUAAGACCGUGAAAUAAGCAGUUACAUUCAGACCCUACCCCUGUCCCCAUUCCUUCCAAAGCUAUUGCGGCUGAAUCGUGGAGCCAUUUAUUCAUUUAUGUAAUAAAGACG
rnacentral:lncRNA from 1 species